rnacentral:rRNA from 1 species
GAAGGCUAAGACAGCCGGAUGUUGGUUACCGGUUUAAGCUAUCGAGGUUAUGAGAGACGGCGAAAACGUCUUGAGCUGAGAAGCGAGUACGACCCGUUACGACGGGGAAGUGUCUGAUGUCAGGCUUCCAAGAAAAGCCCGAACCACGUUAAUUCAAAUUGGCCCGUACCCUAAACCGACACAGGUGGGAAGGUAGAGUAUACCCAGGGGCGCGAGAUAACUCUCUCUAAGGAACUCGGCAAAAUGGCCCCGUAACUUCGGGAGAAGGGGUGCCAGCGAGAGCUGGCCGCAGUGAAGAGUCCCAGGCGACUGUUUACCAAAAACACAGGUCUCCGCUAAGUCGCAAGACGAUGUAUGGGGGCUGACGCCUGCCCAGUGCCGGAAGGUUAAGGAAGUUGGUCAGGCUCUUCGGAGUUGAAGCUAGCGACUGAAGCCCCGGUGAACGGCGGCCGUAACUAUAACGGUCCUAAGGUAGCGAAAUUCCUUGUCGGGUAAGUUCCGACCCGCACGGUCGACGCGGCCG